rnacentral:sRNA from 1 species
UGUGGCCGGGCGCGGUGGCUCACUCCUGUAAUCCCAGCACUUUGGGAGGCCGAGGCAGGCGGAUCACGAGGUCGGGAGGCCGAGGCAGGCGGAUCACGAGGUCGGGAGGCCGAGGCAGGCGGAUCACGAGGUCAGGAGACCGAGACCAUCCUGGCUAACACGGUGAAACCCCGUCUCCACUAAAAAUACAAAAGAAUUAGCCGGGCGUGGUGGCGGGCGCCUGUGGUCCUAGCUACUCGGGAGGCUGAGGCAGGAGAAUGGCGUGAACCUGGGAGGUGGAGCUUGCAGUGAGCCGAGAUUGUGCUACUGCACUCCAGCCUGGGUGACAGAGCGAGACUCCGUCUGAAAAAAAAAAAAAUAAUAAAAGAAAGCCAUUGUGUCCUACAGGUGUCUGAGGGUCUGGCAAUGUUCUCCACCCCGCCCCUUAGUUAUUGGGGCCUCUCUUUUCCAGGGCUUUUUGUAGAAAGCACCCGCAAGGGGAGUGUAGUGUCCAGAGCUAAUAGCAUCGGUUCCACCAGUGCCUCUUCUGUCCCCAACACAGGUAGGCGGUAACAUCCCCCCUACCUUGGGGGGCUCAGAUAUGUCAUAAUUGUAGUACCUUUCCUAGACAGGGAAGCCCCAGCCAUCCACACAGGGGUGCUGGAGCCAAAGUAUCAGACACAGGGUCUCACCAUCUUUCACCUCAUCUGGAACAUUAGGUUCUUCUGUCCAUCUGCCUUCUCUGGACACCAGCUUCUUCCCAGCUGGGGAAAGGUGGGCUAGCUGGACCCCACUGGGCCCCAAGAUGACCUCUCCCUGCCCCCAUCUCUGAGCGUAGAUGACGAGGACAGUGAUUACCACCAGGAGGCCUACAAGGAGUCUUACAAAGACCGGCGGCGGCGCGCACACACUCAGGCUGAGCAGAAGAGGAGGGACGCCAUCAAGAGAGGCUAUGAUGACCUUCAGACCAUCGUCCCCACUUGCCAGCAGCAGGACUUCUCCAUUGGCUCCCAAAAGCUCAGCAAAGCCAUCGUUCUACAAAAGACCAUUGACUACAUUCAGUUUUUGCACAAGGAGAAGAAAAAGCAGGAGGAGGAGGUGUCUACGUUACGCAAGGAUGUCACAGCCCUAAAGAUCAUGAAAGUUCCUUCAAUGCCUCCAUCUCAGUGGCCAGCUUCCAGGAGCUGUCAGCCUGUGUCUUCAGCUGGAUUGAGGAGCACUGUAAGCCUCAGACCCUGCGGGAAAUUGUGAUUGGCGUCCUGCACCAAUUGAAAAACCAGCUUUACUGACCGGUUCUUGGAAACCUGCAGAACAGCCAACAAGAGGCCCUUGAAUCUCUACUUGGCCACUGAACUGCUGGGCCCAGGAGAUUGGACUACAACACCUCACACUGGUCAGCUGGUUUCUACUUGGUGUUUGGUUUUCCCAGCCCCAUUUUAUCUUCAGCGGAGCUGCGGUGUUUGUUUUGUGAAAGCUUCUGAUUAAUUUAUUAUAUUGACGAUAAAACUCAAACCUACCCAGCCUUCCCCCCACUCCAUGGAAGUCCUUGGGAUGGGAGUCUGCUCUGGACACCCCAAAGAGGUCCUGCCCUCUCAGCCCUUUCUUCAAGCCUCAGAUUUCUGCUCAUGAGCUACAUAGAUUUGGAAACUGUUUUCCACUGUUUUCCUCUGUUUUGGUCUCUUGGGCAACAUCUGGCCCAAGUUGGGGCAUUUUGGCAGUAGCUGUAUGGGAGAAAAAGAGUAAGAGGAAAUACUCCCCCAGCCAUGAAGGGUGAAAGGGCACCUUGUGCCUAGACUAGGGCUGCCUGGUCAGUUCCAGGUGAGGCCAAGGGCUUUCUGGCCAUCUCAGGGAGGGGCCACCAGGUUCCUCCCCUCACCCCAUAUUCCAUCACCUUCCUCCUCUGCUCUGGGUGAUAAGGGAAGCCCUCCCGGUUCCCACAGGCUGUGAUGCUGCACGGCAGAGGCAGGUGUAACACAGCACUACAUAUUGGAAAUUUUUAAUUUUUCUAAAUACCAAUGCAGUUUUGCUACGGUUACAAUUUUGAAAUAUUAACUGGGCCUCAAAAUCACCCUUUCUGUCAAGCAUAUCUUGGCCUCUCCCAUGUCUCAGUGUUGCCUGCAUUUCUCCCAGGACUUGGGGGUGGGGUGAAAAGCGUACAAAAGAUAUUCAAAAGGGCUCCUGGGGUACACAAGCCCAGCAGGUCCUGAGUGAAGCCGUGGGCCCUCCAAAUGCUCGUUUUAUAGCAACCUCUCUUUACCCUAGUUCUCCAAGUUUACUUCUGCCUUCCUCAGGUUUGAUAUCUGGCAGGUUUGACUAUCCAGAGGAAAUUAAAUAUUUUUAUAUCAAAUUAAAUUAUAAUAAAUAUUGCCAAAUGCU